rfam:Pantoea sp. PSNIH2, complete genome.
AUCGGUUUGGAAGACAGACCUUAUGAAAGCAGUUUUAGUAAAGCAGUCCUCAUUUAAAGCGUUAUCUCAGAUACCCCUUCUUCGUGAGCCUCUUCUAAGUGCCCAAUAAGUAUUCUCUGCAAUACAGACCUUUUAUGCCACACAAGCUGGCUCCUCAAUAAAGAAGGAAGUAUCUAUGUCUAAUAAAAUGACUGGCUUAGUAAAAUGGUUCAACGCUGAAAAAGGCUUCGGUUUUAUCUCUCCUGAAGACGGCAGCAAAGAUGUAUUCGUACAUUUCUCUGCUAUCCAGAGCAACGAUUUCAAAACCCUUGAUGAAGGUCAGAAAGUGCAGUUCUCUGUUGAGAACGGCGCGAAAGGCCCUUCAGCAACUAACGUUGUUGCGCUGUAAGACGCCUUCGCCUUAAUCCCCUUC